AACGAGCAGGCGAGCGAGCGUGCGCGCGCGGAGAGGGGCGCGCGCCCCUCGGCGUCCCAGCCUUCUGGGGGAGGGCGCGCAUGCGCCGGCCGCGGCCUCCUCCAGCGACCCUGGCAUGUGCACAGGCUCCGCCCCGUCCCCUUCCUCUGUGCGGGCGGACGGCACAGCUGCAGCAUCCACGGGCCACGGCAGCACCCGGGUUCCAGCCUGGCAGCGGCCGCGCGGGCUCGGGCUCCGGUCCACACCGGUCUCAGGCCGCCUGAGGGCAAAAGGCUGAGGGGGACGCGCUCCCGGCGGCCCGGCCCGUCGCCUUGGGGCUCAGGGGGGCUCCUCGCUACUUUCGGGGUGCUCUCGCUGCUCGUUGGUUGCAGCACGAGCACACAAUGGCACCGCGGCUCUGGGCGGCCCGGCUACCCUGCGGGCUCUGUCUCCACCUCUACGGCAAGACCCCCUGCAGGGCCCGAGUUCGAAGCCCGGCCUUCCCGGGCCGCAGCUGCCACAGCCCUUCGGAGGCGGAAGUUUAUUGAGUACGCGAGUAGGAAGGGAGAGGCUUUGCCUUAGGGUGCUUCCUACCCGCUCGCACUCUGCGAUCCUGGCGCCCGCGAUGCUGAGCCGUGGGCCGAAGCGCUACCCCAGACCGGCCCACAGGGCGAGUUGAGCGGGAGGACCCAGCCGCACCGCCCCGGCUCCCAAAGUAAUCGCGGGCCGAGGGGUGCCGCCGUGCCCAAUCAGAGCCGGGAGCCCAAUGAGUGGAAUGCGAAGUGGCCAAUCAGAGGGCCGGAAGAUGAGUUUCCCGUGCCGAACUCUUCCCUGUAGCCUGGGGACCCAGAUCCCAAGCUUGAAGGCAAUCAUAGGAAGGAUGAUAUUGUUAUUUCCACAAACAAGAUGAUGGGACCUUGAAUAAUGAAAGCCACUUUUGAGCAAAGUCCUGGUUCAAAAGGCAGAGCCAAUCAUUCCCACCGGAGGGUAAAUGACUGAUUUAAAGGCUGACAAAACUAAAGCCAACUUUCUCUCUGACUCACCUCCACAGCUGAAAUUCCUGUCUUCAUUGAGUGUAAGUCCCAUAUAUGUCAGACUAUUGAUUGAUUUGCUAUCCACUCCAGCAUCCCCUUAUUAAUAAGACUUUCUUGUUUUGUUUUUGUUUUAAUUUGCUAGUUUUUUAGGUAACCCCUUCAGAAGGAACUCCACCCUGGUCUACUAUUCUCAGAAUAGUAGAAAACUUCAGAGUUUACCCUUUUCUUUCAGACAUUAAAAAGGUUACACGUUGAUAGCAAAGGCUCUUAAUCCCAGCACUCAGGAGGCAGGAGAUCUCUGUGAGUUUGAGGCCUGUCUGGUAAGCAGAGCGAGUUCCAGGACAGACUCCAAUACAGAGAAACUCUGUCUUGAAAAACAAACAAACAUUAAAAAAAAAGUUAGACCUGCCUUUAGCAACAUGUUUGCAGUUGGGCCAAAUCACGAGACAAGUGAUAGCCUCUCUGUUGUUGCUUGCCAACAGGAGUAAUGUCAUUUCCAGGUACAUCUAUUUGUCAGUAUAAGUCCUUACAGUAUUCACUACUACUUAGCCUCAACAUCUGCAUCCAUGGCUUUUUAAAAAUUAUUGUUAUUACAUUUGUGUGUGUGUGUACACCCAUGUUACAGAAAUACUUUUGUGGAUGGAAGAUCAGUUCUUUCCUCCUUCCUUUUACCUGGUGGGUCCCUGGAAUCAAACUCAGAUCAUCAGGUUGGGUGACAAGUGUUUGUUUUUCUUGCAGAUGCCUCCAGCAAACCUUACUUUGAAAGAAGGCUUUGCUAAGUUGCCCAUGUUAGUUUUGCAGAGCAGUUGGGAGGCAUACAUCACCACCACCACAUGCUGUGAGACUACUAUUGCUAAAGAUGGUAAAGCAUUUGAGCACAGGUUCCCAAACAAGGACCGCAUGCAGCAAGCCAUCCACUUUUUUCACAUAAUUUGAGCAAGGGAACUACCUUUGAUGUUAAAGCCACCGAGAUUUGGCUAUAUUUUUUUACUGCAGUGUGACCUAGAAUCUAAGUUAUGUUAGGUUGAUUAGUGCUAGAAUCAGAAUAGUCCCAAAGUAUUCUAAUUAAUCCCCUUAACAUCAUUAUAUUCCUGGAGUAAACCAGCCCCUGUCAGACCAAAAGGAAGACUUUGAGCCCAUGCUUGGGAGAGGAUUCUCUUCUUUGCCCUCGGAAUGAAUAAGUCAGCCUAAAAUCUAGAGUGCGGCACACAGCAGUGGUGCAGGACAAACUGGUCUUAAAAUGAACACACUAAAGGUGACUGUGAGACAAGAAAACUCUAGAAGAUACGAUUGAGCUGAUGAUCAUAUCACUGAGGAAGGCUCCUGUUUCUGAACUUUUAAUUCUGUAAAAUAAAUGUUCCUUUAUAACUCUGUA